rnacentral:lncRNA from 1 species
GUAUGGCUUUUUGAGCUGUCAAGGCUGCUGAUGACUCCACAGAAGGGAGCUGGUUUACCAACCGAGACUUGGUGGGUUGUGACUGUUCUACUGUAUGCUACCUGUUUGCAGAGAGUUGAUUCUCCUGCAUUUCUGGGCUGGAGGAGGAACUACUGUUGAGGGAACAUUGGUUUCAUGCUGCAUAAAUACAUACACACUGAGGCUCAAACUCAGGGUGUUGCUCACACUAACACCGUCACUGAGCUUCUUCUCCAGCCUUGGGUCUACAUCUUUACAGAAACAGUUCCUUGGCCAUGCAGUCCUAGGGUACGGAAGUGUUCUGACUUUAUGUCCUGGAGUUGAGAGGCCUUCAAGGGUGGCACUGGCUGUGCCUGGCCUGGAAAAAUUAUUCGCAGACUCCACAGUGGAAGGAAAGAUACUUGUGAGCAGUGGGAAUGCACUGAGGAGUAGUCAGGCUUUUGGCUGAAGCUGCUUAGCUGUGUGACCUCGCAAUGGAAGAAGAGGAGCCUGGCUUGUCUCCCGCUUAACAACCCCCUUCCAUUUGUUAGGUUAAGGACUGGACCCUGAGCCUCAUGGAUGCUAGGAUGUGGUGUACUCCCCAGCCCUCUCUUAACCGUUUCUGUGGAUCUUGUACCUCCUUCCUUCUCCUAAUUGGUUUACACAGAAAUGCAUAUAAGAUUUUUUCCCCAAUAAGUUUUUCCAUUACUAACUUUAAAGUGGGUAUAGGCAACUGUAUCCUUCCUCAGACACGCUUCUAUAUAAAUAAAAG